GGAGGACUAGUCUAACGGUAAGGCAGCGGACUUGAAAUCCGCCGGGCUAUGCCCAUCGGGGUUCGAAUCCCCGGUCCUCCGCCA
rnacentral:tRNA from 1 species